rnacentral:rRNA from 1 species
UUGAACGCUGGCGGCAUGCCUUACACAUGCAAGUCGAACGGUAACGCGGGGCAACCUGGCGACGAGUGGCGAACGGGUGAGUAAUAUAUCGGAACAUACCCUAGAGUGGGGGAUAACGUAGCGAAAGUUACGCUAAUACCGCAUACGAACUAAGGUUGAAAGUGGGGGAUCGCAAGACCUCAUGCUCAUGGAGUGGCCGAUAUCUGAUUAGCUAGUUGGUGAGGUAAAGGCUCACCAAGGCGACGAUCAGUAGCUGGUUUGAGAGAACGACCAGCCACACUGGAACUGAGACACGGUCCAGACUCCUACGGGAGGCAGCAGUGGGGAAUUUUGGACAAUGGGGGCAACCCUGAUCCAGCAAUGCCGCGUGAGUGAAGAAGGCCUUCGGGUUGUAAAGCUCUUUUGUCAGGGAAGAAAAGGUAUCCUCUAAUACAGGGUGCUCAUGACGGUACCUGAAGAAUAAGCACCGGCUAACUACGU